rnacentral:rRNA from 1 species
AUGGAGUGGACCGAUGAGUACGUCCAAAUUGUUUGUUCCUUGAUGGCUGAACAAGUGGGACAGGGGAAUUGUCCCAACACUCAUUUGAACCCUUUAGGCUAUAACACUGUGUCAGAAAGGUUCUACCAGAUGACCGGAAUUAGUUUAUCAAAGACACAACUGAAGAACAAGUGGGAUAAGUUAAAGGGCGACUGGUCUUGUUGGAAUAAAUUAAUGAGGAAGCAAACUGGGACAGGUUGGGACAGUGGGAGUUAUUGUCAUGGACAAUGAGUGGUGGAAGAAGGCGAGAAAGGUUAG